rnacentral:rRNA from 1 species
UACAGAGGUCUCAAGCGUUGUUCGGAUUCAUUGGGCGUAAAGAGCGUGUAGGCGGCCCGGUAAGUCCGCUGUGAAAGUCCAGGGCUCAACCCUGGGAUGCCGGUGGAUACUGCUGAGCUCGAGUCCGGAAGAGGAGUGUGGAAUUCCUGGUGUAGCGGUGAAAUGCGCAGAUAUCAGGAGGAACACCAAUGGCGAAGGCAGCACUCUGGGACGGUACUGACGCUGAGACGCGAAAGCGUGGGGAGCAAACAGG